rnacentral:rRNA from 1 species
AUUGAACGCUGGCGGAAUGCUUUACACAUGCAAGUCGAGCGGCAGCGCGGCCUUCGGGCUGGCGGCGAGCGGCGAACGGGUGAGUAAUGCAUCGGAACAUGCCCAGUCGUGGGGGAUAACACUUCGAAAGAAGUGCUAAUACCGCAUACGUCCUGAGGGGGAAAGCGGGGGAUCGCAAGACCUCGCGCGAUUGGAGUGGCCGAUGUCAGAUUAGCUAGUUGGUGGGGUAAAGGCCUACCAAGGCGGCGAUCUGUAGCUGGUCUGAGAGGAUGAUCAGCCACACUGGGACUGAGACCCGGCCCAGACUCCUACGGGAGGCAGCCGUGGGGAAUUUUGGACAAUGGGGGCAACCCUGAUCCAGCCAUUCCGCGUGAGUGAAGAAGGCCUUCGGGUUGUAAAGCUCUUUCGGCAGGAACGAAACGGUUGGCUCUAACAUAGUCCGCUAAUGACGGUACCUGAAGAAGAAGCACCGGCUAACUACGUG